UACGUAGGGCGCAAGCGUUGUCCGGAAUUAUUGGGCGUAAAGAGCUCGUAGGCGGUCUGUCGCGUCGGCUGUGAAAACCCGAGGCUCAACCUCGGGCCUGCAGUCGAUACGGGCAGACUAGAGUGCUGUAGGGGAGACUGGAAUUCCUGGUGUAGCGGUGAAAUGCGCAGAUAUCAGGAGGAACACCAAUGGCGAAGGCAGCUCGCUGGGACGUGACUGACGCUGAGACGCGAAAGCCAGGGGAGCGAACGGG
rnacentral:rRNA from 1 species